rnacentral:rRNA from 1 species
AGAAUCAACGCUGGCGGCGUGCCUAACACAUGCAAGUCGAACGAGAAAGUGGAGCAAUCCAUGAGUACAGUGGCGUACGGGUGAGUAACACGUGACUACCUACCCUCGAGUGGGGAAUAACCUCGGGAAACCGGGGCUAAUACCGCAUAACAUCUACGGAUCAAAUGCGUAAGCAGCUUGAGGAGGGGUCGCGGCCGAUUAGCUAGUUGGUGAGGUAAUGGCCCACCAAGGCAAUGAUCGGUA